UUUCAGGCGUGUUCAGAUCUGAAUGCUUCAGAAGGAUCCUCCUUUUUGAAAAUCCACGUGUGGCACCCCCCAAAAUGUUGAGAUGUAUAUACUGCAAUUCAGAACUAAGCCUUCGGAGAGACUCCACUAUCGAUGGAACAGUUUGGUUACUUACAAACUAAGAUUCACAAGAAAUGUAACAAUUAUUUAUUCCCUCAAAAAUGAACCCCUACAAGUGAACAUGGACACAGUCCAAGGGAAAGGUGCCUUCAAAAUUCAGAAUGUGCAUCGCAGCAAAGGAGAGUUUUUUAAGAAGGGAUCUGAAGAAAAGUGAUGUUGCUUUGAGGAUGUUUAUGGAAACCUCCUCCAAAGCACGAGGGGAUGAAAGUGAGUAAAGUAACAUUCACAAAUAUGGAAAAAUUUGGCAUUGACAGAGGAUGGACUACAGUCCUAUGAUAGUAGGUCUCUCUGUUCCUCUUUGAGAAUUGUUGCUUUGGGUGUUCUGCUGCAGGUUGCCCCCAGGUCUGUGCCUGCGCCCUAGAUAUUCUUAUGCUGUGGUACAUCCCCCCAGCCUUCAGCAGGAACCUGCAGAAGAAGAAAAAACACCACCUUCCUGCAAAUCCUCCUCCUUGCCAGAUGAAGCUGUUAUGUCUCCCCCACCAUCUUCUGAUGAUGAUUUCAAGACCUUAUAAAACAGACAGCAGAGACCUUGCAAAUUCUAUUUGAGGAAAUACCAGAACCCCAGCAUUCUUUUUGGACAUCCUCCAUACAUUAUCUGAAGGCAAAAUCACCUUGCCCAUCAAUGAUGUUCAACAGGCCUCAGUCUGUAUGAUAUGGCAAAACUCCAGCCACUAUACUGCCUAUGUGUAAAUUGGCUGAAAAAAAUACUACUGUAUAUUCCACCCAGAGACUGAGUAUUAUUUCUCCCACCUUACACCUAAUUCCAUGGUAGUUGAGGCCAUCAACGAAUGAAACAGGCAACAUCGGUCCUGUUUGACACCAUCAGACAAGGAGCUGAAACAGCUAGAUCUUCUGGGCCACAAGAGCUACUCCUCAGCCUCUUUGCAGUUCAGAGUAGGUAAUUUCCAAGCCCUAAUGACAAUAUAUGAUUUUACAAACUAUUCAAAGUUUUCAUCUUUUAUUGAACACCUGUGUGAUGGGGUGGACUAAGUCUGGAGGCCCCCUGUAGAGGAGAACUCCUCUAGGUGGUCUAGAGGGGCUGCUUGAGCAGCCAACCAGGGGUCAGGAAGGCCAUAUAAAAAGGAGCAACAGAGACAGAGCAGUCAGUUUCUGCCUGGAACUGGAAGAGGGAUGACCAGGUUCCUGGCUGGCACAGACAGCUCAGAGCGGGCAGGUCUGAGUCCAGGGAGGGCUGCCAAAGACCAGGGGAGCUAAGAAGGAGCUCUUGGCUGGCUGUGGAGACUGAGUAAGGACUGAUCCCAGAACUUAGCCAGAUCAAGUGAGUUCCACGAUGGGCCUUGUUGGUCUGGUUAGAAACAAAGCCCAGGGAGGACUGCCGAAAAGGACACACCAACUGAGGGUACUGCGAUGGGCCCCAUUGGACUUUUAUAGAAGGUAGUGUCUUCAGGGAGGAAGCCUUAGUGGCCUGGCCCCAUACCAGGGCUGUGGGAAGGUAGAAACUGUAUACCUCAGAAGAGGUUUGUUUGUUCCAUCUACAGACAGUGUGAGAGACUCGGUCGGAGGGCUGAGUCACUGAAGAUCCGCCAAAGAAACAAUAAACCAAGGGGGAGCACUCGCGAGAGGUGGGUGCAACCCUGUUCCAAACAGAGAAACAGCAGGCUCACAUCUGACCAGAAGAGGCACUCAUGAGAGGCGGGUGCCAACCCCGUUACAACCUGCCACAGGAGCAGAGGGAACAAUUCCAAACCCUCAUUAACAGAAGGCCAGACAGUUAUCAGUAUGUGUCUCCAGACCUCACUCAAAGCCUCCAAUACACUUGCACAUUCCAUGGCGAUGGCAGUGUCAUACACCAAGCUUCUUGGCUGCAGUCUUCCAGCCUCCCUUGGGAGGUACAAAACACUGUCAAGGACCUUCCCUUUGUGGGGCCUAAAUUAUCCAGUGAUGCCACAGUCAGGUUCCUUCAUUCACUUAGAUUCCCAGGCAACACUAUAAUCUCUGGGCAUCUAUAUACUUGUGACAGAGAGAAACUACAAUAGAUCCCAGAUGGUUCAACACACUCACCCUGUCCACUGUCAGCCACGAGACUGGCUGAACCUUCCAAAAAAAAAAAAAAGAACCAGAGAGGUCUACUGUGACUCCCCAGUCAGCGACCUCUUCAAAAUCAUCAUUUGGACCCAUUAGUUGAGAGUCACAAACUAUCUUCCACUCUAGAUCCUAUGGUGCACCUAUCCCCUCUCCACCCUUAUGGGAAUCAUCUCUCCCAUUUUCUACCUUACUGGGAACUCAUCAUCUCAGACACAUGGAUCUUGGAGGUGUUUUCUACAGGAUGCACUAUCAAGUUCAGGUCCUUUCUGCCCCUCCUCCCCACUCCCCUUGAGAGACCUGUUUCUCAAGGAUCUCUUGAGGCAGGAGGUACAAUCCCUCCUAACUCUGGGGGCAAACAAAAUUGUUCCACUGGACUUCAUUGGGAAAGGUUUCAAUUCUGAGUACUCCCUGCUCCCAAACAAAAAUGGAGUGUGAAGAUCUAUUCUGUGCCUCAGGACUUUGAACACCUUUGUCCACACUCAACAGUUCAGAAUAGUAACCCCAUCAGCUAUAAUUCCCUCCCUAGAUCUGGAAGGACACUUAUUUUAAUAUAGCCAUGCACCCUUCCCACUGACAUUUCCUACAUUUCGUGGUGGGCAGGGACCACCACCGGUAUCAUGUCUUACCCUAGGCCUUUCCACCACCUCAAGGAUCUUUACCAAUGUCCUCUUGAUGUCACAGCCCAGCUUUGUCAGAUGGGACUAAUUGUAUUUCCCUGCUUGGAUGAUUGGCUCCUGAAAGAUCACUCCUUUUUUGAGGUACAGACAGCAACGAGCACAGCAAUAUCUCUGUUUCAUUCCCUGGGCCGUUGCCUCAAUGCAGAAAAGUCCACACUCAUACCCACUCAAUUUAUAAACUUCAUUGGGGCCAUUCUAGACUCCUCCCCCACCAGAGCAUACUUACCCAUGGAUAGGUUUGCCACAAUGUCCAGCCUCAUUUCAACAGUAAGACAAAGACCUCAAACCCCAGCAAGGGUUUGCCUGCAACUCUUGGGCCAUAUGGCAGCCUGUACGUUUGUGAUACCCUUAGCAAGAUUACACUCCUGGUGUCUGCAAGCAUGGCUGAGGACUAUCCACCCCAACAAGCACAGUCUAUCCAAGUGGAUGUCCAUACCUCAGAGGGUAUUUGAUUUUCUAAAGUGAUGGAAGGAGCCACAAAAGCUAUGCCAGGGAGUUUCAUUCUUGCAGCUUCCUCCCACAGAUGCCUCCAUGAUAGGCUGGGACACACACUUCCAGAAUUUGGGCAAAUGGAGGCAUUUGUGGGAGUACAAACAGUC